rnacentral:rRNA from 1 species
AUUGAACGCUGGCGGCAUGCUUUACACAUGCAAGUCGAACGGUAACAGCCCUUCUGGUGCUGACGAGUUGCGUACGGGUGAGUAAUUCAUCCGAACGUUCCCAGCGGUUUGCUAUAACGCAGCUAAAGCUGUGCUAAUACCGCAUGUGCUCUGAUGUUGAGAUCGGGGGACCAAGCAGCAAUGUUUGGCCUCUCGCCUCUGGAACGGCCGAUGUCAGAUUAGGUAGUUGGGGGGGUAAAGGCCUACCAAGGCGACGAUCUGUAGCUGGUCUGAGAGGACGAACCGCGAGACGGGGAGUGAGACACGGCAGAGACACCGACGGGAGGAAGCGGUGGGGAAUGGUGGAAGAUGGGGGCAAGAGUGAUCAAGGAAUGUCGCGUGAGGGAAGAAGGACUGAGGGUGGUAAACCGCUUUUGGACGGAAAGAAAAGGCUCUGGCUAAUACCUGGGGCUGAUGACGGUACCGUAAGAAUAAGCACCGGCUAACUACGUG